UACAGAGGGUGCGAGCGUUAAUCGGAAUUACUGGGCGUAAAGCGCGCGUAGGUGGUUUUGCAAGUCGAGUGUGAAAGCCCCGGGCUCAACCUGGGAACUGCAUUCGAGACUGCAUUACUCGAGUAUGGGAGAGGGCAGUGGAAUUUCCGGUGUAGCGGUGAAAUGCGUAGAUAUCGGAAGGAACAUCAGUGGCGAAAGCGACUGCCUGGCCCAAUACUGACGCUCAUGUGCGAAAGCGUGGGGAGCAAACAGG
rnacentral:rRNA from 1 species